CGUGAAACCGCGAAUGGCUCAUUAUAACAGCUAUAAUUUACUUGAUCUUGACACAAUCCUACUUGGAUAACUGUGGUAAUUCUAGAGCUAAUACAUGCAUUAAAGCUCUGACCUCACGGGAAGAGUGCAUUUAUUAGAACAAAACCAAGCGGCUUCGGCUGUUUCUGGUUGACUCAUAGUAACUGAGCUGAUCGCAUGGUCUUGCACCGGCGACGUGUCUUUCAAGUAUCUGCCGUAUCAACUUUCGAUGGUAGUGUAUCUGACUACCAUGGUGAUCACGCGUAACGGAGAAUAAGGGUUCGGCUCCGGAGAGUUCGCCUGAGAAAUCGCGAACACAUCUAAGGAAGGCAGCAGGCGCGAAAAUUACCCACUCUCAGCACGAGGAGGUAGUGACGAAAAAUAACGAGACCGUUCUCUUAUGAGGCCGGUCAUCGGAAUGGGUACAAUUUAAACCCUUUAACGAGUAUCUAUGAGAGGGCAAGUCUGGUGCCAGCAGCCGCGGUAAUUCCAGCUCUCAAAGU
rnacentral:rRNA from 1 species